rnacentral:rRNA from 1 species
GAUGAACGCUGGCGGCGUGCCUAAUACAUGCAAGUCGAGCGAACAGACGAGGAGCUUGCUCCUCUGACGUUAGCGGCGGACGGGUGAGUAACACGUGGAUAACCUACCUAUAAGACUGGGAUAACUUCGGGAAACCGGAGCUAAUACCGGAUAAUAUAUUGAACCGCAUGGUUCAAUAGUGAAAGACGGUUUUGCUGUCACUUAUAGAUGGAUCCGCGCCGCAUUAGCUAGUUGGUAAGGUAACGGCUUACCAAGGCGACGAUGCGUAGCCGACCUGAGAGGGUGAUCGGCCACACUGGAACUGAGACACGGUCCAGACUCCUACGGUAGGCAGCAGUAGGGAAUCUUCCGCAAUGGGCGAAAGCCUGACGGAGCAACGCCGCGUGAGUGAUGAAGGUCUUCGGAUCGUAAAACUCUGUUAUUAGGGAAGAACAAAUGUGUAAGUAACUAUGCACGUCUUGACGGUACCUAACCAGAAAGCCACGGCUAACUACGUG